rnacentral:misc_RNA from 1 species
UUCUGCUCUUAGUAGUUUCAGUUUGGGUAUCAAUUCUACUUCAGUUCCAAUUUCGGUUUUGGUUCAUGCUUCCAAAAUUAUAGCAUUUGUAUCUUCAAACAGCACUAAAAAUCAAAAUAACAACACUAACAUCAAAAUAAAAUAUCAACAAAAUAACGUCAAAAUAAUUUUUUUUCCUUUUAACAAAAUAACACCAAAUAAGAUAAUUAAAGACAGCAAUAUUAACAUUAAAG